GUGGUGCGUCGGCAGACCUAUGAAUGGGCAGAGAGGGGUGUGCUCUCGCAGACACCAUAGCAGCAGUGAGAUGAGGAGUGCCGUCUACUACACCGCACGUCUGCUGAACUGAGAGAAGGGAAGAGGGAAGACGAAGGGAGUCAGAGCUUCCAAAGGACAUCAUCAAUCUCAAAGCUCCGUCAGCACUGAACGUCUGCUGAGGAAUAAUAGAAGUAGAAAAAAUUCAGCCAUGGAGCAGAAGACAAAUGAGAGUUCCAACACCACCUCUCCUCAGAAGCAGAUGAAGAACAGGUCCAAGUCAACGGAGGAGAUGCAACAGUCGAAGAAGGCCUUUUCCUCACAAAAAUCCCUCCCCGGCAGACCAGAGCUGGACAACGUGAAGGAGUGUCCCGAUGGCUCUGACACACCCUCGUCCUCCACCGAAGAAAGUAAUAAAUAAAAGGGAUCAGCAGGACUAUAAAGCUACAAGAUCAUCAUACAACAACAUGAUACACAUAUACAAAUGUAAAUAAUGUGCACAAGGUAACAUGCAAAAUAUUGAGGAUAAUAGUGAACUACAUUAGAAAAUCAACGAAGUGACGAUUUGUUAAAGGAAACUGUAAAAGAAAAAGGUAAAUUGAACAAACACACAAACGAUCUGAGACAAUCGCAUGUCAACCAGCCGUGAGGAUGCUGUCUUCAUUGUACUGUCAGUGUCAUAUACAAACCACACUGAAUGUGUCUUGAGAAUAAAAUGAUUCCUCAUCUGUUCUCACUCCAGGAAUAAACUACUGCAAAACUCAAAA